UACGUAGGGUGCAAGCGUUUAUCCGGAAUUAUUGGGCGUAAAGAGCUCGUAGGCGGUUUGUCGCGUCUGCCGUGAAAGUCCGGGGCUCAACUCCGGAUCUGCGGUGGGUACGGGCAGACUAGAGUGCAGUAGGGGAGACUGGAAUUCCUGGUGUAGCGGUGAAAUGCGCAGAUAUCAGGGAGGAACACCGAUGCGAAGGCAGGUCUCUGGGCUGUAACUGACGUGAGGAGCGAAAGCGUGGGGAGCGAACAGG
rnacentral:rRNA from 1 species